rnacentral:rRNA from 1 species
AGAAUCAACGCUGGCGGCGUGCCUAACACAUGCAAGUCGCACGAGAAAGGGACUUCGGUCCUGAGUACAGUGGCGCACGGGUGAGUAACACGUGAAUAAUCUACCUCCGAGUGGGGAAUAACUGAGAGAAAUCUUAGCUAAUACCGCAUAACACUUACGAGUCAAAGCAGCAAUGCGCUUGGAGAGGAGUUCGCGGCAGAUUAGUUAGUUGGCGGGGUAAUGGCCCACCAAGACGAUGAUCUGUAUCCGGCCUGAGAGGGCGCACGGACACACUGGAACUGAAACACGGUCCAGACUCCUACGGGAGGCAGCAGUGGGGAAUUUUGCGCAAUGGGGGAAACCCUGACGCAGCAACGCCGCGUGGAGGAUGAAAUCCCUUGGGAUGUAAACUCCCUUCGAUCGGGAAGAUAAUGACGGUACCGAGAGAAGAAGCCCGGCUAACUUCGUGCCAGCAGCCGC